rnacentral:rRNA from 1 species
GACGAACGCUGGCGGCGUGCUUAACACAUGCAAGUCGAACGGAAAGGCCUCUUUCGGGGGGUACUCGAGUGGCGAACGGGUGAGUAACACGUGAGUAACCUGCCCUUGACUUUGGGAUAACUUCAGGAAACUGGGGCUAAUACCGGAUAGGAGCUCCUGCUGCAUGGUGGGGGUUGGAAAGUUUCGGCGGUUGGGGAUGGACUCGCGGCUUAUCAGCUUGUUGGUGGGGUAGUGGCUUACCAAGGCUUUGACGGGUAGCCGGCCUGAGAGGGUGACCGGCCACAUUGGGACUGAGAUACGGCCCAGACUCCUACGGGAGGCAGCAGUGGGGAAUAUUGCACAAUGGGUGGAAGCCUGAUGCAGCAACGCCGUGUGCGGGAUGACGGCCUUCGGGUUGUAAACCGCUUUCGCUCAUGACGAAGCUUUGUGUGACGGUAGUGGGUAAAGAAGUACCGGCUAACUACGUG